UAUACAUGCAAGUUGAACGGGAUUAAGUAGCAAUACUUAUGAGAGUAGCGCACGGCUGCGUAACGCGUAUGCAAUCUACCUUUAACUGGGGAAUAGCCCAAAGAAAUUUGGAUUAAUACCGCAUAACAUUAUUGAAUGGCAUCAUUUAAUAAUCAAAACUACGGUGGUUAAAGAUGAGCAUGCGUGACAUUAGCUAGUUGGUGAGGUAAUGGCUCACCAAGGCUCCGAUGUCUAGGGGGUCUGAGAGGAUGAUCCCCCACACUGGUACUGAGACACGGACCAGACUCCUACGGGAGGCAGCAGUAAGGAAUAUCGGUCAAUGGACGCAAGUCUGAACCAGCCAUGCCGCGUGCAGGAUGACUGCCCUAUGGGUUGUAAACUGCUUUUGUACGGGAAGAAACCCCUCUACGUGUAGAGGGUUGACGGUACCGUAAGAAUAAGGAUCGGCUAACUCCGUGCCAGCAGCCGCGGUAAUACGGAGGAUCCAAGCGUUAUCCGGAUUUAUUGGGUUUAAAGGGUGCGUAGGCGGCCUAUUAAGUCAGUGGUGAAAGCCCGGAGCUUAACUCCAGAACUGCCAUUGAUACUGAUGGGCUUGAGUAUAGUUGAGGUGGGCGGAAUGUGUCAUGUAGCGGUGAAAUGCUUAGAUAUGACACAGAACACCGAUUGCGAAGGCAGCUCGCUAAACUAUAACUGACGCUGAGGCACGAAAGCGUGGGUAGCAAACAGGAUUAGAUACCCUGGUAGUCCACGCCCUAAACGUUGAUUACUCGAUGUGUGCGAUACACUGUACGCGUCUAAGCGAAAGCAUUAAGUAAUCCACCUGGGGAGUACGGUCGCAAGACUGAAACUCAAAGGAAUUGACGGGGGCCCGCACAAGCGGAGGAGCAUGUGGUUUAAUUCGAUGAUACGCGAGGAACCUUACC
rnacentral:rRNA from 1 species